CCCAAUCUUUUGAAGCUAAAACCCUAGAUGUGGUCAACAUUGGUCCAGUUUUUCGAAGCCACUACGGUGAUUUUCCGCCUAAUUCUCUUUUUUCGACAUUGGGGUAUGAAUUGAGGGGGUUGAAUUCGAUGGUGGAGGAUGGAAAAGGUGAGAUUGAGAGCUUGGAGGGUAUGAGUAGGGUUUCCAAUGAAUAGAGGGAGCUUGAUUUAUGUGCUGAUGAGUUCGAUGUGGGGCGGUUGAAUCGGUUGCUGGGGCUAAUUAUUUUUUGGGAUAGUUGAAAUCCUUGCAGCUUGUUCCAAGCCUAACAGCAGAACGAGAUGAUGAAAUUUGGAAGGCUGCUUUAAAUACUAGCAACAGGUUAGAAGAUCCUUGGGGAAUUUUGGGGCUUUAUUGGCAUCAAACUAGAAAGGAAGAGAGACUUAUUUCAAGAUUUGGCUCCACUUUUGUCUAACUCUUUUGGUACUAUCAUUGCACUCUUGCAGAUGACAACACACCACACAAUGACAGGAGAAUCCAUGCCGAUGCCCCCACAAUAUCUUGAUCCUCUUGGUUUCUCUUUGUAGCAGAUAGGCAAGUUGACACUUUAUUUUGUCGAAAAAAAUUUGCUCAGGAAAAGUUACUUUUAACUGUGAAGAUAAUUUCUUUUAGCAAUCCCCUCGAAGCUAAUUAAAGAGACAUAAUAAUUUUCUUCUUCAAGGUGCAAGGAAAUUUACUUGUAUAAAUGAAUGGAGUAAUGUUGUUAAUUAUGGCUUCAUUUUUGUAGGCUUCUUCAGAGAUUAUGGAGUAGAUGGUUCUUGGGGGUGUUUGGUAAAACUUUUUUUUCAACUUAAAUAAGCUUUUGGCUUAAAUUAAGCUAUAUUAGUGUGUUUGGUAAAACUUAUAAGGCACAGAUUAUGGCUUAAUUUAAGCCAUUUUCGGCUUAAAUGUAAACGUUGCUCCA